CCUACGGGAGGCAGCAGUGAGGAAUAUUGGUCAAUGGGCGCUAGCCUGAACCAGCCAAGUAGCGUGAAGGAUGACUGCCCUAUGGGUUGUAAACUUCUUUUAUAUGGGAAUAAAGUGCAGUAUGUAUACUGCUUUGCAUGUACCUUAUGAAUACGGAUCGGCUAACUCCGUGCCAGCAGCCGCGGUAAUACGGCGGAUCCGAGCGUUAUCCGGAUUUAUUGGGUUUAAAGGGGGCGUAGGCGGGUUGUUAAGUCAGUUGUGAAAGCUUGCGGCUCAACCGUAAAAUUGCAGUUGAUACUGGCAUCCGCGAGUACAGUAGAGGUAGGCGGAAUUCGUGGUGUAGCGGUGAAAUGCUUAGAUAUCACGAAGAACUCCGAUUGCGAAGGCAGCCUGCUGGACUGUAACUGACGCUGAUGCUCGAAAGUGUGGGUAGCAAACAGGAUUAGAUACCCUUGUAGUC
rnacentral:rRNA from 1 species